rnacentral:rRNA from 1 species
ACGGAAGGCAGCAGUGGGGAAUAUUGCACAAUGGGCGAAAGCCUGAUGCAGCGACGCCGCGUGAGCGAAGAAGUAUUUCGGUAUGUAAAGCUCUAUCAGCAGGGAAGAAGAAUGACGGUACCUGACUAAGAAGCACCGGCUAAAUACGUGCCAGCAGCCGCGGUAAUACGUAUGGUGCAAGCGUUAUCCGGAUUUACUGGGUGUAAAGGGAGCGCAGGCGGUACGGCAAGUCUGAUGUGAAAGCCCGGGGCCCAACCCCGGUACUGCAUUGGAAACUGUCGGACUAGAGUGUCGGAGGGGUAAGCGGAAUUCCUAGUGUAGCGGUGAAAUGCGUAGAUAUUAGGAGGAACACCGGUGGCGAAGGCGGCUUACUGGACGAUAACUGACGCUGAGGCUCGAAAGCGUGGGGAGCAAACAGGAUUAGAUACCCUGGUA